CAUCGUGAAUGAUGAGAACCUACACUAACAGUUAUCCCUGUCUGAUUCAAUUUGAUGUGUUCGUUUGAUCUGACGCAUG